rnacentral:rRNA from 1 species
CUACGGGCGGCUGCAGUGGGGAAUAUUGCACAAUGGGGGAAACCCUGAUGCAGCGACGCCGCGUGAAGGAAGAAGUAUUUCGGUAUGUAAACUUCUAUCAGCAGGGAAGAAAAUGACGGUACCUGACUAAGAAGCCCCGGCUAACUACGUGCCAGCAGCCGCGGUAAUACGUAGGGGGCAAGCGUUAUCCGGAUUUACUGGGUGUAAAGGGAGCGUAGGCGGCAUGGUAAGUCUGGUGUGAAAGGCAGGGGCUCAACCCCUGGACUGCAUUGGAAACUAUCAAGCUAGAGUGCCGGAGAGGUAAGUGGAAUUCCUAGUGUAGCGGUGAAAUGCGUAGAUAUUAGGAGGAACACCAGUGGCGAAGGCGGCUUACUGGACGGUAACUGACGCUGAGGCUCGAAAGCGUGGGGAGCAAACAGGAUUAGAUACCCCUGUAGUC